rnacentral:rRNA from 1 species
UACGAAGGGGGCUAGCGUUGCUCGGAAUCAUUGGGCGUAAAGCGCGUGUAGGCGGCUCGAUAAGUCUGCUGUGAAAGUUCAGGGCUCAACCCUGAAAUGCCGGUGGAAACUGUCGAGCUAGAGUACGGAAGAGGUGAGUGGAAUUCCUGGUGUAGCGGUGAAAUGCGCAGAUAUCAGGAGGAACACCAAUGGCGAAGGCAGCUCACUGGGACGUUACUGACGCUGAGACGCGAAAGCGUGGGGAGCGAACAGG